UACAGAGGGGGCAAGCGUUAUUCGGAAUUAUUGGGCGUAAAGGGCGCGUAGGCGGCCUUCUAAGUCAGACGUGAAAUCCCUCGGUUCAACCGGGGAACUGCGUCUGAGACUGGAAGGCUUGAAUCCGGGAGAGGGAUGUGGAAUUCCUGGUGUAGCGGUGAAAUGCGCAGAUAUCAGGAGGAACACCUAUUGCGAAGGCAGCUCGCUGGGACGUUACUGACGCUGAGACGCGAAAGCGUGGGGAGCAAACAGG
rnacentral:rRNA from 1 species